AGUCGAACGGACUCAUAUUGAAACCUAGUGAUUUAUGAGUUAGUGGCGGACGGGUGAGUAACGCGUGGAAAACCUGCCGUAUGCCGGGGGAUAACACUUAGAAAUAGGUGCUAAUACCGCAUAAGCGCACAGCUUCGCAUGAAGCAGUGUGAAAAACUCCGGUGGUAUAUGAUGGUUCCGCGUCUGAUUAGCUAGUUGGCGGGGUAACGGCCCACCAAGGCAGCGAUCAGUAGCCGGCCUGAGAGGGUGAACGGCCGCAUUGGGACUGAGACACGGCCCAAACUCCUACGGGAGGCAGCAGUGGGGAAUAUUGCACAAUGGGGGAAACCCUGAUGCAGCGACGCCGCGUGAGUGAAGAAGUAUUUCGGUACGUAAAGCUCUAUCAGCAGGGAAGAAAAGGAACUAAAGUUCCCAUGACGGUACCUGAUUAAGAAGCCCCGGCUAACUACGUGCCAGCAGCCGCGGUAAUACGUAGGGGGCAAGCGUUAUCCGGAUUUACUGGGUGUAAAGGGAGCGUAGACGGCAGCGCAAGUCUGGAGUGAAAUGCCGGGGCCCAACCCCGGAACUGCUUUGGAAACUGUGCAGCUGGAGUGCGGGAGAGGUAAGUGGAAUUCCUAGUGUAGCGGUGAAAUGCGUAGAUAUUAGGAGGAACACCAGUGGCGAAGGCGGCUUGCUGGACCGUAACUGACGUUGAGGCUCGAAAGCGUGGGGAGCAAACAGGAUUAGAUACCCUGGUAGUCCACGCCGUAAACGAUGAUUACUAGGUGUCGGGGGACCAAGGUCCUCCGGUGCCGGC
rnacentral:rRNA from 1 species